UUUAGAGGUUGAGGGUGACUUUCCUUCUCAUUACUUCGUGAUAGGGUCUUGCUAUGUUGCCUCGGCUGGAAUGCAGUGGCUGUUCAUAGACAUUAUCACAGCACACUACAGUCUCAAACUCCUGGACUCAAGCAAUCCUCCUGCCUCAGCCUCCUGAGUAGCUAGGACUACUGGGAUGCACUACUGCUCUUGGCAAAUUAAGGAUUUUGAGAUGGAGAGACUAUCCUGGAUUAUCUGAUGGGCUUAAUCAUUGACAAAGGUUCUUAUAUAAGGAAAAGUCAAUGUGAUAAUGGAAGCAGAUUUGAAGAUGCUGUGCAACUGGCUUUGAAGAUGGAGGACGGGGCCACAAGCCAAGGAUUGUUGGCAGCCUCUAAGCUGGAAGAGGUAAGAAGCAUAUUCUCCUGUGGCACCUCCGGGAGAAAUGCAGUACUGCCUAUACCUUGACUUUAGCCAAGUGAAACUAAUUUUAGACUUCUCACCUCCAGAACUGUAAGAUAAUAAAUUUGUGUUGAUUUAAGACACUAUGUUUGUGGUAAUUGGUUACAGCAAUAGGAAACUAAUAGACCAGGCAUUAUGUUAAGUGCUUUAUAUCAUUAAAGAAAUGUAUACAAAUCCAC
rnacentral:lncRNA from 10 species